UAGGGAAUCUUCGGCAAUGGGGGCAACCCUGACCGAGCAACGCCGCGUGAGUGAAGAAGGUUUUCGGAUCGUAAAGCUCUGUUGUAAGAGAAGAACGUGUGUGAGAGUGGAAAGUUCACACAGUGACGGUAACUUACCAGAAAGGGACGGCUAACUACGUGCCAGCAGCCGCGGUAAUACGUAGGUGCCGAGCGUUGUCCGGAUUUAUUGGGCGUAAAGCGAGCGCAGGCGGUUUAAUAAGUCUGAAGUUAAAGGCAGUGGCUUAACCAUUGUUCGCUUUGGAAACUGUUAAACUUGAGUGCAGAAGGGGAGAGUGGAAGUCCAUGUGUAGCGGUGAAAUGCGUAGAUAUAUGGAGGAACACCGGUGGCGAAAGCGGCCCUCUGGUCUGUAACGGACGCUGAGGCUCGAAAGCGUGGGGAGCAAACAGG
rnacentral:rRNA from 1 species